UGCUGCCGGUAGAAUCAGAGUCAAAGGAGCCCCGAGUAGCCUCUUCACCCUACUCUGCUCACACUGCAGUAGACAGUCUUCACUUGUGUUUUCUGGGCCGAUCCAGCACCAGGAAGGCUGCCAGAUUGGCAGUGUAGGAAGCCACAAUGAUCAUGGCAAAACCAGCCCACACCAUGCCUAAGAUACGAGCAGAGAAACUCCGGGGGGCGCCUGUGGGCAGAGACUUGCGUCAGUUCCUAGAAAGCAGAGAAUGCAGCGAUGCAGGCCCUGGGCUUAACCUCACCUUCCCCAAUGCCAGAGUUGAGCAAGACGCCCCAGGAGAACCACAUGGCAGAGGACAGGGUCAGUGCAUCCUCCUCCUCCUCCUCACUGUUCACCUUGAAUCGGCCAAAGGGACUGCAGAGUGCAAAGAGAAGGCGGGAGAGAGGGCAGGAGAGGCAGCUCUGCCCAGCCCUGCCCAGUUCUGCCUGCCCUACACAUGCAGGGGUUGGGCUCUCUGCAUGUGCUCACCUGAAGCGGUCCAGCAGGUACAGCAUCACUGCCACCACAUGAACUGACAGCCCCACUAGCAACCACAGUGUGCUCUGAAAAGGCUGCAUGAAUGAGUCCAAUGUGCUCCGAGGGAUCUCCUGCAGGUGACCAGUGGUCAAGUGUCACCUGGGCCUUCCAUGCCCCCCCAUCCCAUCCCCACCUGGUCGUCACCUGGGCCUUCCAUGCCCACUCAUCCCCACCUGGUCGUCACCUGGGUCUUCCAUGCCCCACCCUACCCAUCCCCACCUGGUCCCUGCCUACCUUCUUGACCAGAAUGGUCAGGCCCUGGUACUUAAAGGGCUUGGAGAACUCUAUGUACUGCGCACGCUCAUUGUUGAUGGUCAGUGGUGCCACAAUCAUGUCUGCUUGACCACUGAGUAGCUCUCCCAUCAUUCCAUUCCACUCCUUUUUGUUGCUGUUGUUUACCUGCAAAGAGACAGAACCAGUGGGGCUGCAGAUGGGAUGACCACAACUCCCUGAAUGAGAACUCCUGUACCAUAGUAGGCCUAGUACAUGAGGAGUACGCCUCCUGCUCCACGGCUACCUCUAAAGCCCAGCCCCAACCAACAGCCACCUCCCAUAAUAAGGCUCCACCCAGCCCAUAGACUUUCUAGUUAAUCCAUCUCAGCUCACAGGACCCUCCCAUUAGCCUCUUUACUCCAUACCCGCUCCUGUGUGCCAAACUUGCCAUCUGCCACCAGGUGCACCUCGUAGGUAAAAUUCAUGGUCCGCGCCAGCUUGAUGAGCAGGUCGAUACAGAAGCCAUAGCAGCACUGGGGCACUGUGUGACGUGCUGUGGGUAGUUAAGGAAUAUUAACCAUCGAUUCCUGACUUGGAGGCCCUUCGUCCUGCCACGCUUUGCCCUGCACUCACCGCUUCCUGGGGACGUGUCAUUAGGCCCCGUACAGAUCACCUUCUUGACAGGGUCACCAUUGACUGUGAACUCCUCCUUGCAUGUGCCAUCACUCAUUGUGGGCUUGACAUACACGAAGGGCUCUUGGUGGAUUGUUACUAUCUGCAUGGAAAGAUAAGAACUAAUACAAGAUAAGAUAAUACA